AUUGAACGCUGGCGGCAGGCCUAACACAUGCAAGUCGAGCGGAUGAGAAGAGCUUGCUCUUCGAUUCAGCGGCGGACGGGUGAGUAAUGCCUAGGAAUCUGCCUGGUAGUGGGGGACAACGUUUCGAAAGGAGCGCUAAUACCGCAUACGUCCUACGGGAGAAAGCAGGGGACCUUCGGGCCUUGCGCUAUCAGAUGAGCCUAGGUCGGAUUAGCUAGUUGGUGAGGUAAUGGCUCACCAAGGCGACGAUACGUAACUGGUCUGAGAGGAUGAUCAGGCACUGGAACUGAGACACGGUCCAGACUCCUACGGGAGGCAGCAGUGGGGAAGAUUGGACAAUGGGCGAAAGCCUGAUCCAGCCAUGCCGCGUGUGUGAAGAAGGUCUUCGGAUUGUAAAGCACGUUAAGUUGGGAGGAAGGGCAGUAAGUUAAUACCUUGCUGUUUUGACGUUACCGACAGAAUAAGCACCGGCUAACUCUGUGCCAGCAGCCGCCGUAAUAC
rnacentral:rRNA from 1 species